GGAUGAUUGUCUGACUGUAUGUGUUUAUUUUGGAACGGGCCGAACGCCUCGGCAGAUUAAUAGAUGCAUCUAUUGGCGCGUCGUCGACCAUCGGCAAGUGCACAUUUAUUUUUGUUUGAUCAGGCUGUCGCCUCAGACUGAUUUGCGCAUGCUUGUGUUGCUGCCUGGAACUUAUUUAAGUUGUUACUGUCUCACCCUGGCUCUAGAUCAUUUUGUUAAUAAUGAAAGAAAUUUCGG
rnacentral:lncRNA from 1 species